GCCGUGGUGGCGGAAUUGGUAGACGCGCACGCUUGAGGGGCGUGUAUCCGUAAGGAUGUGGAGGUUCGAGUCCUCUCCACGGCACCA
rnacentral:tRNA from 1 species